rnacentral:rRNA from 1 species
UACGGGGGGGGCAAGCGUUGUUCGGAAUUACUGGGCGUAAAGGGUUCGUAGGUGGCUUGCUAAGUCAGACGUGAAAUCCCUCAGCUUAACUGGGGAACUGCGUCUGAUACUGGCGAGCUUGAGUGCAGGAGAGGAACGCGGAAUUCCAGGUGUAGCGGUGAAAUGCGUAGAUAUCUGGAGGAACACCGGUGGCGAAGGCGGCAUCCUGGACCGACACUGACACUGAGGAGCGAAAGCCAGGGGAGCAAACGGG